ensembl:snRNA U6 U6 spliceosomal RNA
GUGCUCGCUUUGACAGCUCACGUACUCAAAUUGGAAUGAUAGAAGAUUAGCAUGGCCCCUGUACAGGGAUGACAUGCAAAUUCAUGAAGCAGUCCAUAGUAAA